rnacentral:lncRNA from 1 species
CGGCACAUGGAAAUCACAAUGGAAAGGUGGAUUUUGCAUACAUUUUGAGGUAAAUACAUUGUAAAUUGUAACUCGUUAUCAUCGGUACCCAUUUCUUCUUAUUGAAUUUGUUGAAGUGAAUCAAAAAAUUCAUAAUUCGUCAUGUAUUUCGAUAACCGACGACGAAAACCUUUGACCUAUGAAUCAAUCAAUGAAACAAUAAAGUUGGCUAAACGGAAACAAUGCUCGGAGAAAGAUUGUUUUAAUAUUAUAGUUAUAGUAGACUUGAUUUUUUCAAAGCCAACUGUUACAUAAUAAUUACCCCCUCCCGCCCCAUUUAAUUCCCCCUUGGUUUAGUGUAUGCAAUAAAUUAAAACUAUUCAUUUAUGUAUACAUAGCUCUAAUAACUUUGGUAGUAAGGGGUGCACCCCCUAUAUUAUCAUAAAAAUAAAAUUGAGAAUGGAAAUGUAUACCAAGUCUACCUUUCCUUAGGCUUAGUCAUUUUUUUAUACUUUAAGGGCUUUCGAAUAAAUGGGGGUGACCCCCUAUAUUAUCUAAAAUUAAGUAAUAUGAAGGUUUUUGAUAAGAAUUUAAGAUGUCAACUCAACCAGGUGUAUAUACAUCCUACCACUAGGUCCUGAGUUUAUUCAUUAUACAAUCAAACCCUACAACAAAGUUAAGAGAGUUAUUUUCUUCACCACCCACACAAAUGAGCAGUGGUUGGUGUUUUUACAUGUUAAACAAAGAAUGACAUUGUUUUUUUUUUAUUGACUUAAUUUGUGAUUUAAGCAUGAAUUUUAUAAAUAUAAAACUUGGAUUUGUUUCACAAAUAGUAUUCAUAUAUCCAUUGUCAUUUCUAAGUUUAUGAGAAAAUACCAGUCACACAAAGACAAAGAAUUUAUAAAUGCAUGUACAAACAAAUAAAAUGUACUAUUAAGUCAUAUUUCAGUUAACAGGCUACUGAGAUUUUACAAAAUGAGAGAAUUUGCUCAUCUCAGUUAAUAUAUUAUCCAUUUAAUUUAGUUAAAGAUAUGAAAAUUUUAAAUUGAUCACCACUUUCAUUCAAUUGACAUUUUUAAGACUAUUUAUUACUUGUAGGAUUUGCUUGAUAACUGUUAAAAUGUUAUAAUACAAAUAAGUGACUUUAAAAUUUGUCAAUCUACAUUGAUGUAAAUAUUUCAAUAUCAUACAGAUUAAAUACCUAACAGUCUUUUAAAUAUUUGCCACUGGACGUUAAGCAACCAACAAUCAAUCUUUUUUUUUAAAUAUCUCCUUUUAAAAUUGCCUAUUUCCUACAUGUUUUAAAAAAAACUUUUGGUGUGUUUAUUGCUUUUAAAGUUUUGAUUAUGCAAUUUUAUAUUUGUCUUUUGCAGAAUUUGUAUUCACUGUUUUUUUUUUUACUGCUUCCAAGUAACUUGACAUGUAGGAAGUCUGCAUUAUCAUGUAAGCAUUCAAAUAUUAUAUUAUUGUAACUGACACUUAUUUUAUAGUCACAUGAAGUGAUAUGAAAGCUAUUUAAAGAUUAAUUGCUUAUGAGUUUAGAAUUAAUCUGUCUAUUAUAUUUAUGUGUUAAGAAAGUAAAAACAAACAUGGCAAUAUUUUUAUUACAACAUGUAAGUUUACUAUUGGUUUUACCAACCACUGCUGAUACUAAGGGGGCUAUUAAGCUUACUUAAAAUUUGAUUAUAUUGAAGUUCUCUUUUUGUAUUCAGAAUAAGAUAAAGAUAAUUUUUAUGUUCAAAAUAUUAAUAACAGGGCACAUUAAGAGCAUAUAAAUCAAGUACCAUGAUUGAAGUAAUAGAUAUUAUGCAUAUAUAUCGCAAUGGGGCUUAUAAUUAAUUAUAUUGUGUAUAAUAAUAUCCUUUUUUUUUGCAGAAUUUUAAGAUGAAUGAGAAACAAUGGCCACUUCCAAUACAAUAGCACAUUUGAUAAAAUGAAUAAGACUCAAGGACUGCACUUGUCAUUCAAAGGAAGAUCAACAAAUGAAACCCAAAC